GACGACUGUACGUGGCUUGUCCUGCUCAGUGCCCAGUGUCCUUCAUCAGCCGACACUGGCUCACCACCGUUCCUUCACGUCUCACCUUUGAAGCAUGAACGCUAUGUCAGAACAAGCCACACAGCUUCCACCUGGUUCUCUUGGAGGUCUCACUCACUGUCAGAAUGCUUCCUUUGAAGAUGCUUCCUCUAGGCACCUUUCAUUCUCGAGAAGCCUGAGCCACAUGGAAAGGCCACGGAACUUAGUACCAGUCGUGUGGGUGAAGAAGCCAUCUUGAAUGUAAUCUUCCCAGCCCCAGUUAGUCAGUCCUCCCAGACAAGGCCCCAGAUACCCUGGAACAGAGAUCAACCAAGUCUUCAACCUGCUAAAUCCAUGAACAUAACUUUAUGCCACAGCGUUUAGCAUGGUUAGGCAGCAACAGACAGUAAGACCAGCAAUCUGCCUUGGUGGUAUAAACAGAUCUAAGCCUGCAUAUCCAAUAGGGAACAAGCAACAUAUACUAUGGAAUGGAUUAACUGCAAGAAUGACUUGUUAUCAACUCUGGUCCCAUUUUAUAUAAAUGUUGUGUAGUUUCUUAAGUCCCAUCAAUUCAAUAAGCUUCUUGGGUCAAACAGCCAAUGCAUAGUACUAUAUACAGUUACAAAGCUAAGUCUUCCUGGCUUGUGUAGAUUAUUAGAAACUUUUUUUGACACAAUAAUCCCAUGCUCUGUAGCUUGUAAAGACAUUUCAAGGCUAAUGAUCUAAAUCUGUAGCUGGUGGAAGUAAUUUUAAGUCAGAGCAUUGAGUAACUUCAUUUUUCUUCAAAAGUAGUAUGUUUGGGGGUAUAUUUAUUAUAGGAAAAACAUUGGUCAAAUUGGUCAAACCAUGUCCAGAUUGUUCUUCAAUGUCUCUUUAGGGCAUUGUGUAGUAUUCAAUUGUUUUGGACAAGCAUGACUCCCUGUAAACCCAAAUAAAGAUAUAAUUUUCUUCUGAAA